UACCCCUCGCUAAACCUCACCACUUCUUGCCAAACCCGCCUAUAUACCACCGUCGCCAGCCCACCUCGUGAGAGACUCCUAGUAGGCUUAAUGAUCAAGCAUCAAUACGUCAGGUCAAGGUGUAGCAUAUGAAGUGGAAAGAAAUGGGCUACAUUUUCUACUCCUUAGAAUAAACGAAAGAUCUUUAUGAAAUCAGAUCGGAAGGCGGAUUUAGCAGUAAAGAGAAACAAGAGAGUUCUCUUUAAAAUGGCCCUGGAGCGCGCACACACCGCCCGUCACCCUCUUCUACAAAUUAUAUAAUUUAAAUAAACACAUAACAAAUACUAAGAAGAGGCAAGUCGUAACAUGGUAAGCACACCGGAAGGUGUGCUUGGAACC
rnacentral:rRNA from 1 species